CGUGAGAAUCUGCCCUCAGGAGGGGGAUAACGGCUGGAAACGGCCGCUAAUACCCCAUAUGCCGAGAGGUGAAAUGAAUUUCGCCUGAGGAUGAGCUCGCGUCUGAUUAGCUAGUUGGUGGGGUAAGAGCCUACCAAGGCUUCGAUCAGUAGCUGGUCUGAGAGGAUGAUCAGCCACACUGGGACUGAGACACGGCCCAGACUCCUACGGGAGGCAGCAGUGGGGAAUUUUCCGCAAUGGGCGAAAGCCUGACGGAGCAACGCCGCGUGAGGGAUGAAGGCCUCUGGGCUGUAAACCUCUUUUCUCAAGGAAGAAGAACUGACGGUACUUGAGGAAUAAGCCACGGCUAAUUCCGUGCCAGCAGCCGCGGUAAUACGGGAGUGGCAAGCGUUAUCCGGAACUAUUGGGCGUAAAGCGCCCGCAGGCGGCCUCGUAAGUCUGUCGUUAAAGCGUGGAGCUUAACUCCAUUUCAGCGAUGGGAACUGCGAGGCUUGAGUGUGUAGGG
rnacentral:rRNA from 1 species